GUGAGUCAUUGUGGAUGGACCCGGUCUGUGAGUGCGGCCAGGUGCAGGGAGCAGCGCUGAUUGGCGUGGUUUAAGAGGGGUGACUAAAAAGUCUUCACUACCAUCUGUGCCAGUCCCAAGCCCCACACAAGCCGAAGACGCUGCUGUAGGGGGACCAUCAACCCAGGUGACUCCCUCGAGGAGACGUAUCUCAACACAAUCUUCAAGGCCUCAUGACACACCACCACUAAAGAGGAUUUCCACUGUCUCUUCAAGGCCACCACACCAGCUCCUGGAGAGUCUCAUUCCAAUGACGCCACAGUCUCCAUACCUACUUGAGUAAAAAUAACACCAACAGAUUAGGGCCCAUACUUACACACAACCACUUUAACAUGACACAAAGGGGUACAUUUACUAAGAUGGUUUUUUUUUUAAACUGUUGAUGUUACUCUCAGCAAACAAUCUGAAUAUAUGUAUUAUAUUCUAAAAGCAGCUAAAUAAAUGUUAAGUAGAAUCUGAUUGUUUGCUAUGAGCAACAUCACCAGUUCUAAAAAAAAAAAGACACUUUAGUAAAGUAGGGAUGUAAAUAAUGCACCACAAACAAAGGUCACAUUA